UACGUAGGUGGCAAGCGUUGUCCGGAAUUACUGGGCGUAAAGCGCGCGUAGGCGGCUUUGCAAGUCGGGUGUGAAAUCCCCAGGCUUAACCUGGGAACUGCAUUCGAGACUGCAUUGCUAGAGUAUGGGAGAGGGAAGUGGAAUUUCCGGUGUAGCGGUGAAAUGCGUAGAUAUCGGAAGGAACAUCAGUGGCGAAAGCGACUUCCUGGACCAAUACUGACGCUCAUGUGUGAAAGCGUGGGGAGCAAACAGG
rnacentral:rRNA from 1 species